UACGUAGGUGGCAAGCGUUAUCCGGAAUUAUUGGGCGUAAAGCGCUCGCAGGCGGUUUCUUAAGUCUGAUGUGAAAGCCCACGGCUCAACCGUGGAGGGUCAUUGGAAACUGGAGAACUUGAGUACAGAAGAGGAAAGCGGAAUUCCACGUGUAGCGGUGAAAUGCGUAGAGAUGUGGAGGAACACCAGUGGCGAAGGCGGCUUUCUGGUCUGUAACUGACGCUGAGGCGCGAAAGCGUGGGGAGCAAACAGG
rnacentral:rRNA from 1 species